GCAACGCACCUGUCACACGAGUUUACCACCGGAUAACAACAAUAAGGUAAGUACAAUUAAUAAAUAGAAUAAAAUAAUAAAAUAGAAUAAUUAUUCGACAGGUGCGAGCGGAUUCGACGAAGUUGCACGGGUAGAGUGUACGCAACGACCUAAACCCCGAGGUGCCUGCCGGAUACGCCUCUGCGCACAAGUGUCACCAGCCGCAAUCUUUUUGUUAAUUUUUUGGGUUAUGCGGCCUGGUGACUGUCAGCAGAGGCGUGUGUACGAGCAAAUAGAAUGUGGCAGGCGAGUGGACGGAGUACUGCACAAGACAGGAGUUCUACACGACACCUAACCUAGACCUGUCAAGGUGCUGCGGAUGGAAAUUGCUGCAAAAGUGAUGUUAAUAGUAAUAGUAUUAGGAGGUGGGUGGCUAGUGUAAAAAUAAAAACGUUUGAAAUAUAUAAAAAGUUAACUCAUCGACUGUAAAACAGCUCUGCACACGGGUAAAGAAGAAUAAAA